rnacentral:rRNA from 1 species
GACGAACGCUGGCGGCGUGCUUAACACAUGCAAGUCGAACGGAAAGGCCCUGCUUUUGUGGGGUGCUCGAGUGGCGAACGGGUGAGUAACACGUGAGUAGCCUGCCCUUGACUUUGGGAUAACUUCAGGAAACUGGGGCUAAUACCGGAUAGGAGCUCCUGCUGCAUGGUGGGGGUUGGAAAGUUUCGGCGGUUGGGGAUGGACUCGCGGCUUAUCAGCUUGUUGGUGGGGUAGUGGCUUACCAAGGCUUUGACGGGUAGCCGGCCUGAGAGGGUGACCGGCCACAUUGGGACUGAGAUACGGCCCAGACUCCUACGGGAGGCAGCAGUGGGGAAUAUUGCACAAUGGGCGGAAGCCUGAUGCAGCAACGCCGCGUGCGGGAUGACGGCCUUCGGGUUGUAAACCGCUUUCGCCUGUGACGAAGCGUGAGUGACGGUAAUGGGUAAAGAAGUACCGGCUAACUACGUG